CGGGGUGCAGAGGAUGGACUAGGCUCUACCUUCUUGCCUUUCGGGACCGGCUGGAGCUUUGAGCUGUAGAGACAGACCACCUGCACAGGAAUGAGGAGACUGAGGCACAGAGUAUAAAUAAUAGACUAGACAUCCAAGGGUCUACUCAGCAAAUACUAGCUUCACUGGUCAUCAAAGCCCUUCCCCCCCAGCACCCCAGCGGAGUGGUUGUCUUGGGGACCAGACAAUAGAGCCGAG